rnacentral:snoRNA from 1 species
GCUGGUAGAGGCAUUGCAGGUAUGGCUGCUGUGUCGCCUGCGCGUCAGUAGGUGGCAGAGAGGAGAGAGGCUAGGUCUAUCGGAGUUAGGACUUGUGAACAUCUAGAUGAUUAGUAGCCUAACACU